rnacentral:tRNA from 1 species
GGGCUCGUGGUCUAGGGGUCAUGACGUCGCGCUUACAACGCGGAGGUCGCCGGUUCAAUUCCGGCCGAGCCCA